CAGCAGCCGCCACGGUAAUACAGAGGGUGCGAGCGUUAAUCGGAUUUACUGGGCGUAAAGCGUGCGUAGGCGGCUUUUUAAGUCGGAUGUGAAAUCCCUGAGCUUAACUUAGGAAUUGCAUUCGAUACUGGGAAGCUAGAGUAUGGGAGAGGAUGGUAGAAUUCCAGGUGUAGCGGUGAAAUGCGUAGAGAUCUGGAGGAAUACCGAUGGCGAAGGCAGCCAUCUGGCCUAAUACUGACGCUGAGGUACGAAAGCAUGGGGAGCAAACAGGAUUAGAUACCCCUGUAGUCCCUGUCUCUUAUAC
rnacentral:rRNA from 1 species